rnacentral:rRNA from 1 species
AAUGAACGUUGGCGGCGUGGAUUAGGCAUGCAAGUCGAGCGUGUACCCGCAAGGGGAAAGCGGCAAACGGGGUAGGAACGCGUAGGUCACGUACCCCUCGGCCGGGGAUAGCCACGGGAAACUGUGGGUAAUACCCGAUGACGCCGAGAGGCCAAAGGUGUGAUUCCGCCGGGGGAGCGGCCUGCGUAGUAUUAGCUAGUUGGUGAGGUAACGGCUCACCAAGGCGAAGAUGCUUAGGGGGUGUGAGAGCAUGACCCCCACCACUGGGACUGAGAUACUGCCCAGACACCUACGGGUGGCCGCAGUCGAGAAUCUUCGGCAAUGGGGGCAACCCUGACCGAGCGACGCCGCGUGUGGGAUGAAGGCCCUUGGGUUGUAAACCACUGUCAGAGGGGAUGAAACGAUCAUGGGUUCUCCCAUGGUCCUGACAUAGCCUCAGAGGAAGCACGGGCUAAGUUCGUGCCAGCAGCCGCGGUAAUACGAACUGUGCAAACGUUAUUCGGAAUCACUGGGCUUAAA